CUCUCAUUCCUCUCUCCCGUCUGUUAGAUUACCACGUUACCAGCUACUCCAGAGUUUGUCCUUCCCUGUGUCCUCCUGCCCCACAUCCAGCGCAUGUCUAGGGGACAACACAACCUCCCUCCUCCCCCUCUCUUCCAUCCCCCUCUCCAUCCCUCUAUUCUCCCCCUCAGCAGGAUCCCUCCUUUCAGACCCAGACUCCCCCUCACGGUCUCCCAGGUGUCUGUCUGUGUGUUAUGGUCCCCUGGUGGCAGCAGCAGUGAAGGGAUACCUAACCAGGAGGCUCCUACACACAGAGAGAGUGGGACAGCUGCUAUGUACCAUCAAGGACACGCAGCAGUUCCUACAGUCCUUCCAGCCCCAGAGCCCUGGGAGAGACAGCAGGCAAGACCUGGUGCUGCAGGAGAGAGUCACACUGCAGCUCCGCCGGCGCGUUAUGAGGUCCAGGACAUCUUCUGUCUGUCAGCAGGAGACAGGAUGCAGAUCAUCAGCUGGGACAGACAGCUGGCCAGGGACAGAGAGAUGAAACACAAGACUGGGGAAACGGGGUCGACCAGGAGGAAGAGUUCUCUGUCAGCUGCUACACAGAAAGCCCUGGAGAGGAAGAGAGGAGUCAUGAUGAGGAAAACGGCAGAGAGGCAGAGGGGGACUGGAGCUGGGGUUGUAGCUGGCCAGAAGGGCCCUCUGGCUGGGGCAGAGGGGACUGGAGCUGGGGUUGUAGCUGGCCAGAAGGGCCCUCUGGCUGGGGCAGAGGGGACUGGAGCUGGGGUUGUAGCUGGUCAGAAGGGCCCUCUGGCUGGGGCAGAGGGGACUGGAGCUGGGGUUGUAGCUGGCCAGAAGGGCCCUCUGGCUGGGGCAGAGGGGAACGUCGUGAAACGGAUGCGUGGGUCUUUUCGACCCAACCCUCAAAGGGUCCCCAAGACCACCCAGUCCCGCAGAUCUCGGUGAAGAUGGUCUACUUAUCAGGCUAGACUGGACCGGAACUGGGUCGUGUUCAUUUUGGCACUGUGUAGCAAAACAUUUUGCACAGGAGAACAAAAACGAGUGUUUCUUAUUGGACAAGUUCAGGGUCAUAUUCAUUAGUGAAAAUGUUUUGGAAAACGACAACAAGCGUUUCUUAUUGGACAAGUUCAGGUAGUCCCUCCCUUGACCCAGGUAAUGAAUACUGUUGAUACCUAAAAAGAUAUACACACACAAUCCAUCUCACUUAACCCUAAAACAAUAGGCCCCUAUGGGCCCUGGUCAAAAGUAGUGCACUAUAAAGGGUUGCCAUUUGGGACGCUUCCAUAGUGUUUCUUGCUAACCAGUGGACAUCUGGAAAGUAUUGUAUUUUAACUGGAUUGUAUUCUACAAAGUCACAACUCACUGCAUUCAAAUGCAUCUUAGCUACUACAUGCUGUAUGUGACAAUCUAUUCUUACCACAAGACCUCAGGACUUGUUUUUGGACACACUGUUUGUCAUAUGUUAGUUUUACACAUUUUAUACUAUUUAUAUUUCCUAUACCAAUUUGUGGUACGGUAUUGGGAUGGCAAUGCAACCAAAGCCCAGAAAACCCAAGUCUAUAUUUGAAGGUCUGUUCUGAGUGUUCAUCUUUCCUACUGUUUUUGUUCUAAAUUAUUUAGAAGUGUUUUUUAAUAAAUGUUUUUUUAAAUAAAAAAUGUACUUGUCAGGUUGGUUUAAUGAAAACUGAACAAAAAUAUAAACACAACAUUCAACA
ensembl:lncRNA